AUGGCUGGUGUUCUAACGUGGGCCCGUAAUCCGGGUUGCGGACAGUGUCUGGUGGGUAGUUUGACUGGGGCGGUCUCCUCCUAAAGAGUAACGGAGGAGCACGAAGGUCAGCUAAUCCUGGUCGGACAUCAGGAGGUUAGUGCAAUGGCAUAAGCUGGCUUGACUGCGAGCGUGACGGCGCGAGCAGGUGCGAAAGCAGGUCAUAGUGAUCCGGUGGUUCUGAAUGGAAGGGCCAUCGCUCAACGGAUAAAAGGUACUCCGGGGAUAACAGGCUGAUACCGCCCAAGAGUUCAUAUCGACGGCGGUGUUUGGCACCUCGAUGUCGGCUCAUCACAUCCUGGGGCUGAAGUAGGUCCCAAGGGUAUGGCUGUUCGCCAUUUAAAGUGGUACGCGAGCUGGGUUUAGAACGUCGUGAGACAGUUCGGUCCCUAUCUGCCGUGGGCGCUGGAGAAUUGAGGGGGGCUGCUCCUAGUACGAGAGGACCGGAGUGGACGCAUCACUGGUGUU
rnacentral:rRNA from 1 species